GUUUAGCUUCCCGGAGCCUUUACUUGACACUGAGCCCUCCUCCUCACUUGGCAACCGCCUGUAGUCGUCAUAGCAACAGAGAGGCGAGGAGAAGAAGACAGGGUAGGGCUUCUCUCUGGAGGACGCAGUGUGCAGAAAAACGACUCUCCCUGCGAUUCCAUCCGUCCACUCCCCUGUGGUUAGCAUUCAGUCUCGUGUUCACUGACUGAAGCAGCUGCUUGAGAUCUUUCCAGGUCCCGUGUCAUGAGGCUACAGUACCAGCUGGAAACAAUAUGUCUUUUCACUCACUUGCCAUAAUAUAAAAGACUUCCUAUUGUUCCAGCUACAUUGAACGUAAGGUAAUUAGUCAUAAUAAUUAGUAAUUAGUUAGUUUUUCUGCUUUCUCACUAAUGUAUUGAAAGCUGUUGCUUGCUGCUGCAGCAAGAGCCUAUGUUCAGAGCACGACUGUAUGCUGUUCAAGCAGCU